GGACGAACGCUGGCGGCGUGCUUAACACAUGCAAGUCGAACGGAGAAUUUAUUUCGGUAAAUUCUUAGUGGCGAACGGGUGAGAAACGCGUAGGCAACCUGCCCUUUGGAUGGGGACAACAUUCCGAAAGGAGUGCUAAUACCGAAUGUGAUCCAUUUCUCGCAUGAGAGAUGGAUGAAAGAUGGCCUCUAUUUAUAAGCUAUCGCCAAAGGAUGGGCCUGCGUCUGAUUAGUUAGUUGGUGGGGUAACGGCUCACCAAGACGAUGAUCAGUAGCCGGUCUGAGAGGAUGAACGGCCACAUUGGGACUGAGACACGGCCCAAACUCCUACGGGAGGCAGCAGUGGGGAAUCUUCCGCAAUGGACGAAAGUCUGACGGAGCAACGCCGCGUGAGUGAUGAAGGUUUUCGGACUGUAAAACUCUGUUGUCAGGGACGAAGGUGCGAUCUGCGAAUAGUUGAUCGUAUUGACGGUACCUGACGAGGAAGCCACGGCUAACUACGUGCCAGCAGCCGCGGUAAUACGUAGGUGGCAAGCGUUGUCCGGAAUUAUUGGGCGUAAAGAGCAUGUAGGUGGGCUUUUAAGUCCGAUGUGAAAAUGCGGGGCUCAACCCCGUAUGGCAUUGGAUACUGGAAGUCUUGA
rnacentral:rRNA from 1 species